rnacentral:rRNA from 1 species
GAUGAACGCUGGCGGCGUGCCUAAUACAUGCAAGUCGAGCGAACAGACGAGGAGCUUGCUCCUCUGACGUUAGCGGCGGACGGGUGAGUAACACGUGGAUAACCUACCUAUAAGACUGGGAUAACUUCGGGAAACCGGAGCUAAUACCGGAUAAUAUAUUGAACCGCAUGGUUCAAUAGUGAAAGACGGUUUUGCUGUCACUUAUAGAUGGAUCCGCGUCGCAUUAGCUAGUUGGUAAGGUAACGGCUUACCAAGGCAACGAUGCGUAGCCGACCUGAGAGGGUGAUCGGUCACACUGGAACUGAGACACGGUCCAGACUCCUACGGGAGGCAGCAGUAGGGAAUCUUCCGCAAUGGGCGAAAGCCUGACGGAGCAACGCCGCGUGAGUGAUGAAGGUCUUCGGAUCGUAAAACUCUGUUAUUAGGGAAGAACAAAUGUGUAAGUAACUAUGCACGUCUUGACGGUACCUAAUCAGAAAGCCACGGCUAACUACGUG